UCUCGAUUGGUCUAGUGGUCAGGAUACCUGCUUGUCAUUAUACAAUUCGCAGGUGGCCGGGGUUCGAUUCCCCGAUCGAGAG